GCAUUGAAACACUGGUUCCCACAUGAUCACUGAAGUUGAGCAACAUUGAGCCUGGUCAGUACUGAGAUGGGUGAUUGCUUGGGAAUAUCAGGUGCUGUAAG
rnacentral:rRNA from 1 species